UACGUAGGAUGCAAGCGUUGUCCGGAUUUACUGGGCGUAAAGCGCGCGCAGGCGGCACUCUAAGUACGUCGUGAAAUAUCCCGGCUCAACCGGGAGGGUGCGAUGUAGACUAGGGAGCUAGAGGGUCGGUAGAGGGGGGUGGAAUUGCUGGUGUAGCGGUGAAAUGCGUAGAGAUCAGCAGGGAACACCCAUGGCGAAGGCGGCCCCCUGGGCCGUACCUGACGCUGAGGCGGCGAAGGCUAGGGGAGCGAACGGG
rnacentral:rRNA from 1 species